GAUGAACGCUGGCGGCGUGCCUAAUACAUGCAAGUCGAGCGAACAGACGAGGAGCUUGCUCCUCUGACGUUAGCGGCGGACGGGUGAGUAACACGUGGAUAACCUACCUAUAAUACUGGGAUAACUUCGGGAAACCGGAGCUAAUACCGGAUAAUAUAUUGAACCGCAUGGUUCAAUAGUGAAAGACGGUUUUGCUGUCACUUAUAGAUGUAUCCGCGCCGCAUUAGCUAGUUGGUAAGGUAACGGCUUACCAAGGCAACGAUGCGUAGCCGACCUGAGAGGGUGAUCGGCCACACUGGAACUGAGACACGGUCCAGACUCCUACGGGAGGCAGCAGUAGGGAAUCUUACGCAAUGGGCGAAAGCCUGACGGAGCAACGCCGCGUGAAUGAUGAAGGUCUUCGGAUCGUAAAACUCUGUUAUUAGGGAAGAACAAAUGUGUAAGUAACUAUGCACGUCUUGACGGUACCUAAUCAGAAAGCCACGGCUAACUACGUG
rnacentral:rRNA from 1 species